GGGUGAGUAACACGUGAGCAACCUGCCUUUCAGAGGGGGAUAACGUUUGGAAACGAACGCUAAUACCGCAUAACAUUGGGAUAUGGCAUCAUGACCCAAUCAAAGAUUUAUCGCUGAAAGAUGGGCUCGCGCCCGAUUAGGUAGUUGGUGAGAUAAUAGCCCACCAAGCCGACGAUCGGUAGCCGGACUGAGAGGUUGAACGGCCACAUUGGGACUGAGACACGGCCCAGACUCCUACGGGAGGCAGCAGUGGGGGAUAUUGCACAAUGGGGGGAACCCUGAUGCAGCGACGCCGCGUGAGGGAAGACGGUUUUCGGAUUGUAAACCUCUGUCUUUAGGGACGAAACAAAUGACGGUACCUAAAGAGGAAGCCACGGCUAACUACGUGCCAGCAGCCGCGGUAAUACGUAGGUGGCAAGCGUUGUCCGGAAUUACUGGGUGUAAAGGGAGCGUAGGCGGGAAUGCAAGUUGAAUGUUAAAACUAUGGGCUCAACCCAUAGUCGCGUUCAAAACUGCAUUUCUUGAGUGGAGUAGAGGCAGGCGGAAUUCCUAGUGUAGCGGUGAAAUGCGUAGAUAUUAGGAGGAACACCAGUGGCGAAGGCGGCCUGCUGGGCUCUAACUGACGCUGAGGCUCGAAAGCGUGGGUAGCAAACAGGAUUAGAUACCCUGGUAGUCCACGCCGUAA
rnacentral:rRNA from 1 species